rnacentral:sRNA from 1 species
GACCGGAUAGAGCGUGCUGCGGGUGGAAAACCGGCACACGUCUUCGUACAAUGCU